rnacentral:rRNA from 1 species
UAGGGAAUCUUCCACAAUGGACGCAAGUCUGAUGGAGCAACGCCGCGUGAGUGAAGAAGGUUUUCGGACCGUAAAGCUCUGUUGUUGGUGAAGAAGGAUAGAGGUAGUAACUGGCCUUUAUCUGACGGUAAUCAACCAGAAAGUCACGGCUAACUACGUGCCAGCAGCCGCGGUAAUACGUAGGUGGCAAGCGUUGUCCGGAUUUAUUGGGCGUAAAGCGAGCGCAGGCGGAAGAAUAAGUCUGAUGUGAAAGCCCUCGGCUUAACCGAGGAAUUGCAUCGGAAACUGUUUUUCUUGAGUGCAGAAGAGGAGAGUAGAACUCCAUGUGUAGCGGUGGAAUGCGUAGAUAUAUGGAAGAAUACCAGUGGCGAAGGCGGCUCUCUGGUCUGCAACUGACGCUGAGGCUCGAAAGCAUGGGUAGCGAACAGGAUUAGAUACCCUGGUAGUCCAUGCCGUAAACGAUGAGUGCUAAGUGUUGGGAGGCUUCCGCCUCUCAGUGCUGCAGCUAACGCAUUAAGCACUCCGCCUGGGGGAGUACGACCGCAAGGUUGAAACUCUA